rnacentral:lncRNA from 1 species
CAUAAUUUUUUUUAUUUUCCCACUGUACAGCAAGAGGGUUAGGUUAUCCUUACAUGUAUACAUUACAAUUACAUUUUUCCCCCACCCUGAACAUAACUCCCAUUGUAAUUUAGAAUUACAUGAGGAUAAUGAUUCUUCUACCAUGUGGUUACUGUGUGAUUAGACAGGUCACUUAACUGUAGACCUCAUGUUUAUCAUUUGUAGAAGAAACUUGAACUAGUUGAUCUAUUAACCUGCCUCGGACUCAAAUGUUGAGUGGCUCUAAGGGUUUUCCUCUAUUUAUCAGACAAGAUCGGCAAGGUUAUAAUGUAAACAUACAGUCCUGAAAUCUUGGUAGCUUUAUUCUGGCACUGCAUCGUCUGCUGGGUUGCUAUGGGUGUUCUGUUCUACAUGACCUCACUCCAGGAUCCAGCUGACGGGACCACCUCCAUUCUGAACAUUGCUGGACAUUAUAAUAAAGAGCGCUGGGAGAGCUCAUAUCCUGUAUCAUUUAUUCAGAUGCUAUGGCUAGAAGCCAGGCAUGAGGUUCUGUGUCACCUCAGCUCACAGUUCACUGGCCAGAACAAGUUACAUGGCUCUACCUCACCAUAUAGUUGACCAGGAGAUACAAUCCUGCCAUAUGACCAGAUGGAAAAGAACAACAACAACAAAAAAAUAUUUCACAGACAAUAGUAAUAGACAGAUACUGCCCUUCUGGUCAGCCAAAGAGUUGGCUCACUGUUCCUUCCCACAGACAAAAUGUAUUCAUCUCCUCCCCAGUGAACCCAUCCUGCAAGGCCCAGCUAAGGAGUAACAAGCUGAAAGUAUUAGGAUUUCCAGGUGAUACACAUAAUUCUCUACAUCAGGUCUGGAUAUGCUUUCUCUUCAUCUGGAGAUCUGUGAGUGAAAACAUUUAUCUGCACCCCUCCCCCCACCACACACACAUUCAUCAUACGUUGGAAUAACAGAGGCCUGAUAACCGCAGCAAACAUCCCCUUCGGAUAAUGGAAACACAGCAGUCCCUAACCUGGAGCAACUCACAGAUCCCACCAGGCUGGCAUUAUAAGGUCCUCUUCCCCUGGAUGUGGGGAAUAUUCUUAUCUGGGUACCAGACAACUGUCUGGGUUUUGUGGGUCCAGAUAUUGAAUCUAGGAGAUUCCUCCUUUCCAUCGUCUUCUUUAGCCUCAUCUCAAGUAGAUGUUGGAGGAUAAGCCUUUUGGGAGCCGAAGUGCCUCACGGGCUGCUGCUUGCACAUAGAAGAUAGGAGACGUGAGUGUACUUUUAAGUCAAUUGAUUUUAAUCUGGGCUCAUGGUUUUUCCUUGUUUCUUGGCAGCACAACUUUGUAGGCUUCUGGUGGUUCCUUUUAGCUCACUAUGCAAGGUAGCCUGUCCUCUUGAGUUCUUUAUAGGGAUCUAGAUCCUUAAUGCUAAUACUAGAGGCCUGCUGGAAGAGCUGCUCUGUCUCUGUCUCUUUUCCCCCAAACAUUUUAUUCAACUGAGAGCAUUUAUUGUGUGUCCACUUUUCUGUGGGUCUCUGCUCUGAGGCUCUAAUCCAUUCAGAUGUUUUAACUGUGGGUAUCAGGACCCUGCCUUAGCUUCAGCCGUACCCUCUUUUGUUCCUCAGAGGCCUUCUUGAUUUUUUAAUUUAUGCUUUGAGUCGAGAAGCACUCUUCAUCAAGUCCUCAAAUUUUUGACCUCUUCUCUUUCACUCCUGCAUACAAACUGGUCAGGUUUUUUUGGGUUUUGUUUUUUUUUUUUUUUUUGCAUUGUAGGGGUGCACCCGUGGCAUAUGGAGGUUCCCAGGCUAGGGAUCUAAUUAGAACUGCAGCUGCCAGCCUCCGCCACAUCCACAACAAGGCCAGAUUCAAGCCGUAUCUGUGACCUACACCACAGCUCACGGCAACACUGGAUCCCUAACGCGCUGAGGAAGGCCGGGGAUCGAAUCUGCAACUUCAUGGUUCCUAGUUGGAUUCGUGUCCACUGCACCACGAUGGGAACUCCCAAACUGGUCAGUUUUAAAAAUUUGUUUCUUGUAAUAGCAAACAUAGAGCAACCAACCCAUAAUUUUCAUGUCCAGGUUUUUUUCCCCUCUUCUCCUAAAACUGUAAGUUUAUUAAUUACAUGGUCUGCUUUCCAGGUUAUUGUAACUGACUUCUACCAAAUAUUUUGUGCUGCCUAAUGUGGAAUGCCAUGCUGCAGCCUCUGAGAACUUUCCCUGCUUCCUUUUAGUCUUUGUGUUAUAUCAGUGUAUAACUCCACUUCUGGGACCUGUUUAUAUCAGUCAGGAUAACUAGGUUAUGACGUGUGAUUUCAAGCAACCUCAAAAAUUUAGUUCUUGUUUGUGUCACGUUUUAUCAUGGAUCGUCUGGGGAACCAGGCUGCUGCAGCAGAUACCCAUAGUGACCUCUUCCACAGCAGUUAAAUAGUCUAGUCCACAAGUAAUGGAAGUGGCUCUGACUCCCAACUCAUUGGCCAGAAUUAGUUCCCCAGCCCCAGCGACUCUAGAAGGACCAGAAAGCAUGAUCAUACUGUGUGCUUGGAGGCCGCCAGAAAUGAUUUGAUGAACAAGAGUAAAGAUUGCCUAUUACACUCUCAGUAUUAAUCUUGUGUAUUGGAGAAGGAUGAAGAAAAGAGGGUAUUUAAUGUAGAUUACAUCCUACAACUCCUUGCCUUGUUGGCAGUGUGCAGUCUUCUCAUGUUUGGAAGACAUUUGUGAAGACAGAUAAGAGGCGUAACUUCCGUAGGCCAUAUUUUAUCUCUUCUGAGCUGAAGGUCUAAUUUAUCCUUCCCUCUAUUAAAAAGUAAGUUUUUCAUUCUGAGCGUGGUUUGGUCAAUUAUAAUACAAAGAAUAUCUCACCUACUAGAAGGCGUAUUUUGGUUGUCAGGGUCAAAUUGAAAUAGACAUAAAUUACUAAUUAACUUCAGGUGUAACACUGCUACCAUUUUAUUACUAGGAGGUUAAUUUGCAAAAUUAUUUUUUUUUAAUAGGGUUUAAAAAAAAAAAGAUUGACUAGCUUGUUUGCCACAGUUUUGCUAUUUGAAAUGAGAUCAGGAAAGCACAUUGCUUGUUCUAUUUAGGUGUAGAAGAAUCAACUUUUCAUUCUGACCAUAUUUAAUGUAACUCCUGAGGUGAUACAUACUUUUAUCAUGGUUUAUUUAUAUUUUUAUAGGAAAUAAGAUAAUUCAUGUGAUAUUUACAUGAGCACUAAAGACCUUUACAAGAAGGAAUAUAAUUUCCUUUUUUAUUAUGGCUGUAAAUACCAACUAAAGAGAUAAUUUAGGAGUUCCUGUUGUGGCUUAGGGGUUAAGAAUCUCACAUAGCAUAGGAGAUGGGAUUAAGAUGGCAGAAUAGAAGGACUGCAGCUCACCUUCCCUCAUAAAAACAACAAAAUUACAACCAAACACUGAGCAACCUUCAUCCAAAUGGACUAGAAACUUUCAAAAAGGUAUCCUAUUCCAGAAGACAAAGAGGAGGCCACACCAAGACAAUAGAAGGGGCAGUUAUACAAUAUAAGCAAUCCCAUACCCACUGGAUGGGAAGCCCACAGACCGGAUCACAGAGACUCACCUACACAAGUGAGAGUUCUGAGCCCCUCAUCAGGUCCCCAUGCCUGGUGAUCUGGCAUUGGCAGAAAGAACCCCCAGAUCCUCUGGCAGUGAAGGCCAGUGGGGCUUGUGCACAGGAGCUCCACGAGACUGGGGGAAACAGAGAUCCCAUUCUUUUUUUUUCUUUUUUUUUUGUCUUUUUGCUAUUUCUUGGGCUGCUCCUGCAGCAUAGGGAGGUUCCCAGGCUAGGGGUCGAAUCAGAGCUGUAGCCGCCGGCCUACACCAGAGCCACAGCAACAUGGGAUCCGAGCCACAUCUGCAACCUACACCACAGCUCACGGCAACGCCAGAUCCUUAACCCACUGAGCAAGGCCAGGGAUCGAACCCGCAACCUCAUGGUUCCUAGUCAGAUUCGUUAACCACUGAGCCAUGACGGGAACUCCAGGGAGAUCCCAUUCUUGAAAGGCGCACACAGGUUUUCAUGUGCACUGGGUCCCAGGGCAAAGCAGAGGCCCCAUAGGAAUCUGGGUUGGACCUGACUGCAGUUCUUGGAGGAUUUCUUGGGAAAACGGGGUGACUGUGGCUCAUUGUGGGGGAAGGACAUUGGAGGCAAAGCUCUUGGGAAUAGUCAUCAGCUUGUAUUCCUCUAGAGGUGGCAGUUUUGGGAAAAUCUGGUCCCACCCAUCAGCUCUGAGAAGCCCCAGACCAAACAAUAAUCUAGGUGGGAUCACAGACCCAGCCAUUGGUAAACAGGCUGUCUAAAGACCCACCAGGCACACAGGGACAAAGCCCCACCCACCAGAGGGAUAGGCAUCAUCCCUACCUACCAGUAGGCAGGCACCAGUCUCUCACAUCAGGAAGCCUAUAGCAAGCCCCCCAUACCAACUUCAGCCACAAGGGGGGCAGACAUCAGAAAUAAGAGAGGCUUCAACUCUAUUGUCUGCAAAAAAAGACCACACCAAAAACCUAUAAAUAUGAAAAGGCAGAGAAUUAUAACACAGAUGAGGGAACAAGAAAAAGUCUCGGAAAAACAGCUAAGUGCUCUGGAGAUUAUCAGCCUCCAGGAAAAAGACUUUAGACUGAUGAUGCUGAAGAUGAUGCGAGACACUGGAAGUAAACUGGAGGCAGAGACUGAUAAUUUACAGGAAACACUGAGCAAAGAAAUACAAGAUUUAAAACUUAAGCAAGCAGAGAUGAAAAAUACAAUAACUGAAAUAAAACAUUCAUUAGAAGCAACCAACAGCAGAAUACAGGAGGCAGAAGAACGAAUAAGCAAGGUGGAGGUCACUGAUCCACCUCACUGAUGCAGAACAGAAAAGAGAAAAAUAAUGGAAAAGAAAUGAAAACAGUCUCAGAGAACUCUGGGACAACAUUAAACACACCAACAUCCAUAUUAUAGGGGUGCCAGAAGGAGAAGAGAGAGAAAAGGGGACAGAAAAAAGUCCAAAAGAUAAUAGCCAAAAACUAACACAGGAAAGGAACCACUUAGCUCAAAUCCAGGAAGCACUAUAAGUACCAUAGAAAAUAAACCCAAGGCAGAACACCCCGAGAAACAUAUGAACCAAACUGACCAAAAUUCAAGACAAAGAAAAAAUACUGAAAGCAGCUAGGGAAAACAAACAAAGAACAUACAAGGGAACCCUGAUAAGGUUAUCAGCAGAUUUUUCAGCAGAAACUCUGCAGGCCAGAAGGGACUGGCACGACAUACUUAACCUGAUGAAAGGAAGAAACCUCCAACCAAGAUGACUUUAUCCAGCAAGGCUCUCAUUCAGAUUUGAAGGAGAAAUCAAAAGCUUUACAGAUAAGCCAAAGCUAAGAGAAUUCAGCAACCCUAAACCAGCUUUACAACAAAUACUAAAGGAACUUCUCUAGGCAGAAAAGAAAAGGCCACAACCAGAAACAAAAAUGCCACGAAUGACAAGGCUCCCCAGGAAAGGCAUAUGUACAGUAAAGGUAGGAAAUCAUCCAUGCACAAAUAUGCUGCUAAAAUCAGAAAUCACGAGAAGAGGUGGGUGCAAAUGUAGGAAAAUGGAGAUGCACUUGCAGAUGGAGAUGCACUUGCAGUUUAAGAGACCAACAACUUAAAACAAUCUCAUGUAUAUAUAUAGACUCCUAUAUCAAAACUUCAGGGUAACUGCACACCAAAAAUCUACAAUUGAUACACAAAUAAAAAGUCAACUCAAAUGUAACACUAAAGAUAGUCAUGAAACCACAAGAGGAAAGAACAAGAGAGAGAGGGAAGAAAAAAGAGUAACAAAACCAAAUCCAAAACAGUUAAAAUGGCAAUAACAUACAUAUCAAUAAUUACCUUAAAUGUAAAUGGACUAAAUGCCCCCACCAAAAGACAUAGACUGGCUGAAUGGAUACAAAAACAAGACCCAUAUAUAUGCUGUCUUCAAGAGACCCACUUCACUUCUGGGGACAUACACAAAUUCAAAGUGAGAAGAUGGAAGAAAAUAUUCCAUGCAAAUGGGAAUCAAAAGAAAGCUCUAGUAACAAUACUCAUAUAAGAUGAAACAGACCUUCAAGAAUAUUAUAAGAGACAAAGAAGGACAUUACAUGAUGAUCAAAGAAUCACUCCAAGAAGAAUCUGUAACAAUUGCAAAUAUAUAUGCACCCACAUAGGAUCACCUCAGUAUAUAAGGCAGCUGCUAACAGCCUUAAAAGGAGAAAUUGACAGUAACACAAUCAUAGUGGGGGACUUUAACACCCCACUUACAGCAAUGGACAGAUCAUCCAGACAGAAAAUCAACAGGUAACACAGGGCCUAAAUGAAGCAUUAGACUAGAUAGACUUAAAAGAUAUUUAUAGUACAUGCCAUCCAAAAGCAGCAGAAUACACAUUCUUCUCAAGUGCACGAAACAUUUUCUAGGGUUGAUCACAUUCUGGGCCACACAUCAAGCCUCGGUAGCUUUCAGAAAAUUGAAAUAUCAAGCAUCUUUUCUGACCACAAUGCUGUACGACUGGUAAUCAAUAACAAGAAAAAACUGUGAAAAACACAAACACAUGGAGAGUAAACAACAUGCCACAACCAAUGGAUCACUGAAGAAAUCAAAGAGGAAAUUAAAAAAUACCUAGAAGCAAGUGACAGCAAAGAGACAACACUCCCAAACCUAUGGAAUGCAGCAAAAGCAGUUCUAAGAGGGAAGUUUAUAGUAAUACUAGCCAACCUUGGGAAACAGGAAAAAGCUCAAAUGAACAACCUAACUUUACAUCUAAAGUAGCUAGAGAGAGGAGAACAGACAAAACCUAAAGUUAGUAGAAGAAAAGAAAUCAUAAAGAUCAGAGCAGAAAUCAAUGAAAUAGAAAUGAAGAAAACCAAAGAAAAGAUCAAUGAAACUACAAGCUGGUUCUUUGAAAAGGUCAACAAAAUUGAUUAACUCUUAGCCAGACUUUUUAAGAAAAAAAGAGAAAGGACUCAUUUGCCACAGCAGUCAGAAAUCAGAGAAGAUGGGAGUUCCUGUCGUGGCACAGUAGAAGCGAAUCCAACUAGGAACCAUGAGGUUUUGGGUUCGAUCCCUGGCCUCGUGCAGUGGGUUAAGGAUCUGGUGUUGCUAUGGCUCUGGCGCAGGCCAGCACCUGUAGCUCUGAUUAGACCUCUAUCCUGGGAACCUCCAUAUACUGCAGGUGCAGCCUUGACAAGACAAAAAAAUAAAAAAUAAAAAGAAUCCAAAUUGGAAAA